rnacentral:rRNA from 1 species
AACGAACGCUGGCGGCAGGCUUAACACAUGCAAGUCGAGCGCCCCGCAAGGGGAGCGGCAGACGGGUGAGUAACGCGUGGGAAUCUACCCAUCUCUACGGAAUAACGCAUGGAAACGUGUGCUAAUACCGUAUACGUCCUUCGGGAGAGGGAUUUAUCGGAGAUGGAUGAGCCCGCGUUGGACUAGCUAGUUGGUGGGGUAAAGGCCUAACAAGGCGACGAUCCAUAGCGGGUCUGAGAGGAGGAUCAGCCACACUGGGACUGAGACACGGCCCAGACUCCUCCGGGAGGCAGCAGUGGGGAAUAUUGGACAAUGGGCGCAAGCCUGAUCCAGCCAUGCCGCGUGAGUGAUGAAGGCCCUAGGGUUGUAAAGCUCUUUCACCGGUGAAGAUAAUGACGGUAACCGGAGAAGAAGCCCCGGCUAACUUCGUGCCAGCCGCCGCUGUAAAAC